rnacentral:lncRNA from 1 species
GUAGGAAAGCUGAUCUUGAUCCCAAGGAGCCUUAAAUGAUACGGACAUCUAUGUCAAAAAGCUGAAAAAAUCAACAGAAAAACUCCUGGAACUAUUGUGUCUUUCAGAGUUCUUGUGUUUAAAAGUCACGGGAUAUCUAGAUGGAAAUUUCAAGCAUGGGUGAAGUGAUACUCAGGAGAGAGGUGGAAGAAGGAAGCAGAAGAGUUCAGAGUCAGAGUGAUGCGAUAUGAGAAGGAUUCCAUCAGCCAUCGCUGACUCUGAAGAUGCAGGAAAGGGGCCAAGGGAUGCAGGCAGCCUUUGGAAGCUGGGGAAGGAAAGAAACAGAUUCUCACCCUAGAGAUUCUAGAAAGGAAUUGGUCCUGCCCACACCUGGUUUUUAAUGUAGUAAGAUCUUGUCCAAGUUCUGAACUGUAAGGCAAUAAAUCUGUUCUCUUUUAA